GAAUCCAUGUUCGAUGAAGGUGUCCGCACGCGAGUUGUGUUUGAGUGCAUGUGCGUGUGGACUUAAUAGGGAAAUCGGUGCAAAUCCGAUGCGGUCCCGCCACUGUGAUGGGGAGCGCUGGCAACUGCCACUGGGUGUCAAGCCUGGGAAGGGUGCUGGGGCGCGAUGAACCUGAGCCAGGAGACCUGCCUUCUUUCGAAAACACCG
rnacentral:ncRNA from 2 species